UUGAGCUUGAUCCUGGCUCAGAUUGAACGCUGGCGGCAGGCCUAACACAUGCAAGUCGAGCGGAAACGAUGGAAGCUUGCUUCCAGGCGUCGAGCGGCGGACGGGUGAGUAAUGCAUGGGAAUCUGCCCGAUAGUGGGGGAUAACCUGGGGAAACCCAGGCUAAUACCGCAUACGUCCUACGGGAGAAAGCAGGGGAUCUUCGGACCUUGCGCUAUCGGAUGAGCCCAUGUCGGAUUAGCUUGUUGGUGAGGUAAUGGCUCACCAAGGCGACGAUCCGUAGCUGGUCUGAGAGGAUGAUCAGCCACAUCGGGACUGAGACACGGCCCGAACUCCUACGGGAGGCAGCAGUGGGGAAUAUUGGACAAUGGGCGAAAGCCUGAUCCAGCCAUGCCGCGUGUGUGAAGAAGGCCCUCGGGUUGUAAAGCACUUUCAGUGGGGAAGAAAGCCUUGGGAUUAAUACUCCCGAGGAAGGACAUCACCCACAGAAGAAGCAUCCUAGU
rnacentral:rRNA from 1 species